UACGUAGGGUGCAAGCGUUGUCCGGAAUUAUUGGGCGUAAAAGAGCUCGUAGGCGGUCUGUCGCGUCUGCUGUGAAAACUCAGGGCUUAACCCUGAGCUUGCAGUGGGUACGGGCAGACUAGAGUGCGGUAGGGGAGACUGGAAUUCCUGGUGUAGCGGUGAAAUGCGCAGAUAUCAGGAGGAACACCGGUGGCGAAGGCGGGUCUCUGGGCCGAUACUGACGUGGAGGAGCGAAAGCGUUGGGGGAGCG
rnacentral:rRNA from 1 species